AUUGAACGCUGGCGGCAGGCCUAACACAUGCAAGUCGAACGAGCGGCGGACGGGUGAGCUAUGUCUGUGAAUCUGCCUGAGGGAGGGCGUUAACUACUGGAAACGGUUGCUACUACCGCACACCAUCGGCUGUGCCGAGAUGGGAUUAGCUAGGAGGUGGGGUAAAGGCUCACCAAGGCGACGAUCCCUACCUGGUCUGAGAGGAUGAUCAGCCACACUGGAACUGAGACACGGUCCAGACUCCUACGGGAGGCAGCAGUGGGGAAUAUUGCACAAUGGGCGCAAGCCUGAUGCAGCCAUGCCGCGUGUAUGAAGAAGGCCUUCGGGUUGUAAAGCACUUUCAGCGAGGAGGCGUUACUCGCAGAAGAAGCACCGGCUAACUCCGUGCCAGCAGCCGCGGUAAUAC
rnacentral:rRNA from 1 species